rnacentral:rRNA from 1 species
AGAACGAACGCUGGCGGCAUGCCUAAUACAUGCAAGUCGAACGGACACUUCGGUGUUAGUGGCGCACGGGUGCGUAACGCGUGGGAAUCUGCCCUUGGGUUCGGAAUAACAGUUGGAAACGACUGCUAAUACCGGAUGAUAUCGAAAGAUCAAAAGAUUUAUCGCCCAGGGAUGAGCCCGCGUAGGAUUAGCUAGUUGGUGAGGUAAAGGCUCACCAAGGCGACGAUCCUUAGCUGGUCUGAGAGGAUGAUCAGCCACACGUGGGACUGACGACGACCGGCCAGACCUCCGUACGGGAGCAGCGAGUAGGGAAUAGUGACAGUGGC